GCCGCCGUAGCUCAAUUGGUAAGAGCAUCGGGCGCGCAAUCCUAAGGUUGUAGGUUCGGUGCCUGCCGGCGGCA
rnacentral:tRNA from 1 species